rnacentral:rRNA from 1 species
UACGUAGGGGGCAAGCGUUUGUCCGGAUUUAUUGGGCGUAAAGAGCGUGUAGGCGGUCAGGUAGGUCCGUUGUGAAAACUCGAGGCUCAACCUCGAGACGCCGAUGGAAACCAUCUGACUAGAGUCCGGAAGAGGAGAGUGGAAUUCCGUGGUGUAGCGGUGAAAUGCGCAGAUAUCAGGAAGAACACCCGUGGCUAAGGCGGCUCUCUAGUACGGUACUGACGCUGAGACGCGAAAGCGUGGGGAGCGAACAGG